rnacentral:lncRNA from 1 species
AUCUCUGCGUGACUUCCGCCAGCGUUUAGAGCGUUUUCGGGGUCCGAGUUGAAGAGCAAAACCAAGUGAAGGAAACUUCACUAAGUUCAGGGUGACAAGGGAGGAAGUACAGAGACUGCACUUUAAAUUCUGGAUGACAGACCUAUCAGGACUGAGUGGACCUUUGAGUGACAAGAUGGGGGUGUUCCAAAGAGACCAUGGCAGCCUGCAGCUAGGACUUUAAUUGAACUAUUGGCAUGGCUCAAUCCAUUGACCUGUUUUGGUUCCUGAUGAAGUUUUGUUAAUUUAAAUGAGAAAAAUAAGGACAGUGAAAAACAGAGCGCUUAAAAAGCACUGUCUGGAUAUCUUCAGAGGGAAAAAGGAGAAAGUUAACUGAAUUGGUGACACUUCGGGUCUCUCACAGAGGAAGACCUAUUAGAGUGCUAAGGAGAAGACAAGUUAUUAGCACCCAAAAGAAGCACCAGUGCGGAUGGAAAUACAAGGUUGACAUUCGCUGAGCUGUGUUUUUUUUUUCCAGGGAAAUGGUUAUUCUUGAUAUUUUGAGCAAACUCUUCUUCUCUGAUCAGUGCCCAGAACAAGGAAACAGACCUUCUCUUUCCAGUACCUCCUAUCUAUCUAGAUAAUACGGAAGCCAGGGAGAAGAAUGGGAACCCAAGAUCUAUGAGCCCUUAUGGCAUAUGAAAAGUGGGUGUUAUCUGAAAAGUAGAACUCUAGAUGAAACCAGGCCUUUCCCAACAAUGGAGCCCAGGACAAUGCUGUCUUCAAUGUCCAUACCAUUAGACUUGUUAUAGAUGAGUUUCUAUAAUGAUGGCUUUCUGGUUAAUUAAACCUUCUGAAUGAUUCUGUGUAACACUGACUUCUGUGAUUCAUCACAGAACAAGUCUUCCUUCUUUCAUGGAGUAUUACUGUUUUCAGUGACUAUAUUUGGUUGUUUACUCUUUUUGGCACCAAUCACCCAGUGAAUCAACAACCAGAGUUGCAAACAAAUUACCCUCAUUGUCUUUUCCGAGUCCCUUAAUUUACUUUAUUUUUCAUUUGUUGCAAAUGUCAUUGUUUCUGCUAAUGUUGUUUUUUAACAUCUGCCAAGAUAAAAAAUAAAAAAAUCACUUGUAA